ACCAAAUAGAUACCCAGGUAGUCCACGCCCUAAACGAUGCGAACUGGAUGUUGGGUACAUUACGGUACUCAGUGUCGAAAGCUAAACGCGUUAAGUUCGCCGCCUGGGGAGUACGGUCGCAAGACUGAAACUCAAAGGAAUUGACGGGGCCCGGCACAAGCGGUGGAGUAUGUGGUUUAAUUACGAUGCAACGCGAAGAACCUUACCUGGCCUUGUACAUCUGUCGAAUCCUGCAGAGAUGCGGGAGUGCCGCAAGGAACGACAAGACAGGUGCUGCAUGGCUGUCGUCAGCUCGUGUCGUGAGAUGUUGGGUUAAGUUCCCGCAACGAGCGCAACCCUUGUCCCUAGUUGCCAGCACGUAAUGGUGGGAACUCUAGGGAGACUGCCGGUGAC
rnacentral:rRNA from 1 species